GGGGGCGAUAGGUAUCGACAGGGAAGACAGAGGUAAGGAAGGCGGGUCGAGGUUCCUGGUCCUCGUUAAACACAGGGAAAAACAAUAACUGCCAACAAUAACGAAUUGGCUCUAGCAGCUUAAUAUAAGCUGCUCAUCUUUAGAAAGUUAUGCCUGUAAACUUUCUGAUAGGUGUAAUACUGAACAGGCUAUUCCUGUCGAAUGUUCCGAUUGAUAGGAAGAAAAUAAGGAACUAACUUAUUUGAAUCCGGUCUAUGGGAGUUAAAUAAAGCGAAAACAAAGCAUAGACUACACUCGUAGUAUUUCUUGCUAACGAUUCUCUGGACGCGAGUUCGAUUCUCGCCGCCUCCACCA
rnacentral:tmRNA from 1 species